rnacentral:rRNA from 1 species
UGGGGAAUAUUGCGCAAUGGGCGAAAGCCUGACGCAGCAACGCCGCGUGAGUGAAGAAGGUCUUCGGAUUGUAAAGCUCUGUCUUCAGGGACGAUAAUGACGGUACCUGAGGAGGAAGCCACGGCUAACUACGUGCCAGCAGCCGCGGUAAUACGUAGGUGGCAAGCGUUGUCCGGAUUUACUGGGCGUAAAGGGUGCGUAGGCGGAUGAUUAAGUCAGAUGUGAAAUACCAGGGCUCAACCCUGGGGCUGCAUUUGAUACUGGUUAUCUAGAGUGCAGGAGAGGAGAGCGGUAUUCCUAGUGUAGCGGUGAAAUGCGUAGAGAUUAGGAAGAACACCAGUGGCGAAGGCGGCUCUCUGGACUGUAACUGACGCUGAGGCACGAAAGCGUGGGGAGCAAACA